rnacentral:lncRNA from 1 species
GGUCCCCCAUCUAAGUACUAACCGCGCCCGACGCUGCUUAAUUUCGGUGAUCGGACGAGAACCGAUGUAUUCAGCGUAGUAUGGUCGUUGGCGAAAGCCUGAGAGCUGAACGUUGGUUUUGCUCUGUGUUUUGUACAGACUACGUAUAUUUAGUGCAAACGGUUGAAGGAAAUCAAAACAUGUACAAUGGCUAGGAUGUACUGGCUGGGAUGUGUGGCUAUUUAAAGGUAACUUAAAAGGAAAAAUGAGAGAAAAAAUAUAAAAAUCGAAACGAAAAAGGCUAAAAAGGCAAAAAGUUGGUGACGAAGCCAACAACACGCGGUGUUCCCAAGCGGUCCCCCAUCUAAGUACUAACCGCGCCCGACGCUGCUUAAUUUCGGUGAUCGGACGAGAACCGAUGUAUUCAGCGUAGUAUGGUCGUUGGCGAAAGCCUGAGAGCUGAACGUUGGUUUUGCUCUGUGUUUUGUACAGACUACGUAUAUUUAGUGCAAACGGUUGAAGGAAAUCAAAACAUGUACAAUGGCUAGGAUGUACUGGCUGGGAUGUGUGGCUAUUUAAAGGUAACUUAAAAGGAAAAAUGAGAGAAAAAAUAUAAAAAUCGAAACGAAAAAGGCUAAAAAGGCAAAAAGUUGGUGACGAAGCCAACAACACGCGGUGUUCCCAAGCGGUCCCCCAUCUAAGUACUAACCGCGCCCGACGCUGCUUAAUUUCGGUGAUCGGACGAGAACCGAUGUAUUCAGCGUAGUAUGGUCGUUGGCGAAAGCCUGAGAGCUGAACGUUGGUUUUGCUCUGUGUUUUGUACAGACUACGUAUAUUUAGUGCAAACGGUUGAAGGAAAUCAAAACAUGUACAAUGGCUAGGAUGUACUGGCUGGGAUGUGUGGCUAUUUAAAGGUAACUUAAAAGGAAAAAUGAGAGAAAAAAUAUAAAAAUCGAAACGAAAAAGGCUAAAAAGGCAAAAAGUUGGUGACGAAGCCAACAACACGCGGUGUUCCCAAGCGGUCCCCCAUCUAAGUACUAACCGCGCCCGACGCUGCUUAAUUUCGGUGAUCGGACGAGAACCGAUGUAUUCAGCGUAGUAUGGUCGUUGGCGAAAGCCUGAGAGCUGAACGUUGGUUUUGCUCUGUGUUUUGUACAGACUACGUAUAUUUAGUGCAAACGGUUGAAGGAAUCGAAACAUCUACAAUGGCUAGGAUAUACUGGCUGGGAUUUGUGGCUAUGAGAGUAAAGGCAAUUCAAAAGGAAAAAUGAGAGAAAAAAUAUAAAAAUCGAAACGAAAAAGGCUAAAAAGGCAAAAAGUUGGUGACGAAGCCAACAACACGCGGUGUUCCCAAGCGGUCCCCCAUCUAAGUACUAACCGCGCCCGACGCUGCUUAAUUUCGGUGAUCGGACGAGAACCGAUGUAUUCAGCGUAGUAUGGUCGUUGGCGAAAGCCUGAGAGCUGAACGUUGGUUUUGCUCUGUGUUUUGUACAGACUACGUAUAUUUAGUGCAAACGGUUGAAGGAAAUCAAAACAUGUACAAUGGCUAGGAUGUACUGGCUGGGAUGUGUGGCUAUUUAAAGGUAACUUAAAAGGAAAAAUGAGAGAAAAAAUAUAAAAAUCGAAACGAAAAAGGCUAAAAAGGCANAAUAAAAUCGAAACGAAAAAGGCUAAAAAGGCAAAAAGUUGGUGACGAAGCCAACAACACGCGGUGUUCCCAAGCGGUCCCCCAUCUAAGUACUAACCGCGCCCGACGCUGCUUAAUUUCGGUGAUCGGACGAGAACCGAUGUAUUCAGCGUAGUAUGGUCGUUGGCGAAAGCCUGAGAGCUGAACGUUGGUUUUGCUCUGUGUUUUGUACAGACUACGUAUAUUUAGUGCAAACGGUUGAAGGAAAUCAAAACAUGUACAAUGGCUAGGAUGUACUGGCUAUUUAAAGGUAACUUAAAAGGAAAAAUGAGAGAAAAAAUAUAAAAAUCGAAACGAAAAAGGCUAAAAAGGCAAAAAGUUGGUGACGAAGCCAACAACACGCGGUGUUCCCAAGCGGUCCCCCAUCUAAGUACUAACCGCGCCCGACGCUGCUUAAUUUCGGUGAUCGGACGAGAACCGAUGUAUUCAGCGUAGUAUGGUCGUUGGCGAAAGCCUGAGAGCUGAACGUUGGUUUUGCUCUGUGUUUUGUACAGACUACGUAUAUUUAGUGCAAACGGUUGAAGGAAAUCAAAACAUGUACAAUGGCUAGGAUGUACUGGCUGGGAUGUGUGGCUAUUUAAAGGUAACUUAAAAGGAAAAAUGAGAGAAAAAAUAUAAAAGUCGAAACGAAAAAGGCUAAUAAAGGCAAAAAGUUGGUGACGAAGCCAACAACACGCGGUGUUCCCAAGCGGUCCCCCAUCUAAGUACUAACCGCGCCCGACGCUGCUUAAUUUCGGUGAUCGGACGAGAACCGAUGUAUUCAGCGUAGUAUGGUCGUUGGCGAAAGCCUGAGAGCUGAACGUUGGUUUUGCUCUGUGUUUUGUACAGACUACGUAUAUUUAGUGCAAACGGUUGAAGGAAUCGAAACAUCUACAAUGGCUAGGAUAUACUGGCUGGGAUUUGUGGCUAUGAGAGUAAAGGCAAUUCAAAAGGAAAAAUGAGAGAAAAAAUAUAAAAAUCGAAACGAAAAAGGCUAAAAAGGCAAAAAGUUGGUGACGAAGCCAACAACACGCGGUGUUCCCAAGCGGUCCCCCAUCUAAGUACUAACCGCGCCCGACGCUGCUUAAUUUCGGUGAUCGGACGAGAACCGAUGUAUUCAGCGUAGUAUGGUCGUUGGCGAAAGCCUGAGAGCUGAACGUUGGUUUUGCUCUGUGUUUUGUACAGACUACGUAUAUUUAGUGCAAACGGUUGAAGGAAAUCAAAACAUGUACAAUGGCUAGGAUGUACUGGCUGGGAUGUGUGGCUAUUUAAAGGUAACUUAAAAGGAAAAAUGAGAGAAAAAAUAUAAAAAUCGAAACGAAAAAGGCUAAAAAGGCAAAAAGUUGGUGACGAAGCCAACAACACGCGGUGUUCCCAAGCGGUCCCCCAUCUAAGUACUAACCGCGCCCGACGCUGCUUAAUUUCGGUGAUCGGACGAGAACCGAUGUAUUCAGCGUAGUAUGGUCGUUGGCGAAAGCCUGAGAGCUGAACGUUGGUUUUGCUCUGUGUUUUGUACAGACUACGUAUAUUUAGUGCAAACAGUUGAAGGAAUCGAAACAUCUACAAUGGCUAGGAUAUACUGGCUGGGAUUUGUGGCUAUGAGAGUAAAGGCAAUUCAAAAGGAAAAAUGAGAGAAAAAAUAUAAAAAUCGAAACGAAAAAGGCUAAAAAGGCAAAAAGUUGGUGACGAAGCCAACAACACGCGGUGUUCCCAAGCGGUCCCCCAUCUAAGUACUAACCGCGCCCGACGCUGCUUAAUUUCGGUGAUCGGACGAGAACCGAUGUAUUCAGCGUAGUAUGGUCGUUGGCGAAAGCCUGAGAGCUGAACGUUGGUUUUGCUCUGUGUUUUGUACAGACUACGUAUAUUUAGUGCAAACAGUUGAAGGAAUCGAAACAUCUACAAUGGCUAGGAUAUACUGGCUGGGAUUUGUGGCUAUAAGAGUAAAGGCAAUUCAAAAGGAAAAAUGAGAGAAAAAAUAUAAAAAUCGAAACGAAAAAGGCUAAAAAGGCAAAAAGUUGGUGACGAAGCCAACAACACGCGGUGUUCCCAAGC